rnacentral:rRNA from 1 species
CCUACGGGAGGCUGCAGUGGGGAAUAUUGCACAAUGGGGGAAACCCUGAUGCAGCGACGCCGCGUGAGUGAAGAAGCGUUUCGGCGCGUAAAGCUCUGUCAGCGGGGAAGAAACACGGUUCGCGAGAGCCGCGGACGGUACCCGACCAAGAAGCCCCGGCUAACUACGUGCCAGCAGCCGCGGUAAUACGUAGGGGGCAAGCGUUAUCCGGAUUCACUGGGUGUAAAGGGAGCGUAGACGGCGAGACAAGUCAGCGGUAAAAUCGCGGGGCUCAACCUCGCUCCGCCGUUGAAACUGGCGUUCUUGAGUGGGCGAGAAGUAUGCGGAAUGCGUGGUGUAGCGGUGAAAUGCAUAGAUAUCACGCAGAACUCCGAUUGCGAAGGCAGCAUACCGGCGCCCAACUGACGCUGAAGCACGAAAGCGUGGGUAUCGAACAGGAUUAGAUACCCGAGUAGUC